CCUACGGGGGACAGCAGUGAGGAAUAUUGGUCAAUGGCCGAAAGUCUGAACCAGCCAAGCCGCGUGAAGGACGAAGGUCCUAUGCAUUGUAAACUUCUUUUAUAUAGGGAUAAAAUCAUGCUCGUGAGCGUUACCGUUUGUACUUUAUGAAAAAGCAUCGGCUAACUCCGUGCCAGCAGCCGCGGUAAUACGGAGGAUGCGAGCGUUAUCCGGAUUUAUUGGGUUUAAAGGGAGCGUAGGUGGACUGUUAAGUCAGUUGUGAAAGUCUGCGGCUCAACCGGAGGAGAGCAGUUGAAACUGGCAGUCUUGAGAACAGGAGAGGUGAGCGGAAUGCGAAGUGUAGCGGUGAAAUGCUUAGAUAUAGCGAAGAACUCCGAUUGCGAAGGCAGCUUACUGGCCUGGAACUGACGCUGAGGCUCGAAAGUGUGGGUAUCAAACAGGAUUAGAUACCCGAGUAGUC
rnacentral:rRNA from 1 species